UCUAGAAGUGUAUAGCUGAAUUAUUCUGUUUGUACAUUAUUAGGCUCAGUGGUGUAUAUUUUUAUUGUUUGGGACAGUUAUGCAAGACACAUAAAUACAGCAAAUGUGUACUUGAGAUUUUUACAAAAUAAUGCUGUGGCACAAUAACCGUAACUCUAUGACUUUUGUUUUCUUUCUGAUUAUUUUUUUUUUUUUUUUUUUG